rnacentral:tRNA from 1 species
CUCCUCGGCAGGACCGUUCACCUGACGCUCUUGGGCGGCGUCCCGGCCGACGAGCGCCCCGCGGUGCUGGCCCGCGCGAGGAUGC